GUCUUCUCAGCGCUCCCAGGGGUCUGCCUGGGGAUUCCUGCUCCAUUCUGAAGCAUGACCGGGAUGCAGAGGCUACAAACACGCCAGUGUCCUGGCUUAGGCAACAAGUUGUGUGGUCGCUGCAUUUGCCCUAAUUCUUCACCUGGCAAAACUCCGCUCAUCCUCCACGAUCUGCUGGAUGUCGGAGGUGCUGCGAAGCCUUGCCCGUCUCCUGCAGGCAGUGCCCACUCAGCCUUCUCCCUCCAACUUCAUGGCAGUGUUUAUCACGGCGCAUCGUUAGGGAAUCGUCUGUCUCCCCUGCUAGACUCCUGGAGUCUUAUAUAUCUUCUCAUCCCCAGCACUCAGAAGAGUCCCUGACAUAAAAGAUGAUGGAGCACCAGUUUUGUGGAUGAGAAUAUCAAGUAGGCAUUUUGGUGAUGCUGAUAACGAAGUUGGUUGCAGAAAAUGGGAG